UACCCGAUUGAAGACCAUGAAACCCAGGUCAACGUCAACGCCAUCAAAGCUAACAGUCUUAGAAUGGCCACCAAGGUAGUCUUCUUUCUCGUACAAGACAACCUCAACUCCAGCUUGUGCAAGAACAUAAGCCGAAACAAGCCCACUAUUACAGGAAACAGAUGCCUAUCUCUUUUUACUCUCUGCGUACCCAAGAAGAACAAGAAGAAGAAGAAGAAGAAGAAGAAGCGCAGCGCGUGAGUAGAUAAGCCAAGUAUGGAAUAUGGCAGGUCUGCUGCCUGCAAGCGUAUUUGUAGGUACAGCGCACGUGAUGUUAUUAUUAUUAUUAUGAUUAUUGUUAUUAUAAAAUUAAGGGUAAAACAUUAUUUUUUCAAAUUUCACAUGAAAAGUUUGAUUGCUUGUUUUCAUCGUGAGAUUCACAGAAAAA